rnacentral:tRNA from 1 species
AGGAACCGUGCCUGAACGUUUAAGGGCCACUUUGAUAGAGUGGAUCACGAGGGUUAAACCCCCUCCAGUUCCUU